AGUGCAUUAGGAGAUAAUAGCCAAAAUCUGUUAAAUAUUUCAAAUUUUGCAGAUGGCACGCCAGGAACGUCAGGCAUUCGUCGUACAGCCACAAAUGCAUGUACACCAAUAAUUCCGUAAUCACCGCCCCCUCUAACAUCUUCACCGCCUCCACUUACAACUCCAUCGCCCCCACGAAUACGGCCACCUCCACGUGAACAAAGGCACCCAAGAACACCUCCACUGCGUCGCAAUCGGCAGCAAGCUGGAGACUCUCCAUUGUCGACAGCUACAACUCCACGCCGUGCCCUAUUGAGCGCGCGAAGAAAUAGGGGGUUGACUCCUUUUGAACGAGCUGCACAGGAAUUUGUAGCCGUCGAGCAACGCCGUCUUGCACGGGAAAAGGCGAGAGAAAUGCGCCGCCUUGAACUUGAAGAGGAGCGAGACAAGCGCCUUCAUGAACGGGAAAUAGAACGACUACGAUUGGAGGCGCAGAAGAUAGAAGUAGCUCAACAACACAACCAGUUAUUGCAUAAAUUAGGCAUUCUUGUUCAAAGCCUAAUUGAUGUAAUAUCACAGCAACGACAGGUAGGAAGUUUGCCCUCAACAGACCCUUUAUAGCUAAAUUUUUAGUUUUGUUGUUGUUAACUAUUGUAUUAAGUAAGUAUUAUGUUUAAUUUGAUUAUUUUGAUUUUUUUUAAUGUUUGAUUUAAUUGAUAAAUUGAAUUUUUGAUUAUGUUAAUGCCUAAUUGUUUGUCUGAUUAUUUUGAUUUUUUUUAAUGUUUGAUUUAAUUGAUAAAUUGAAUUUUUGAUUAUGUUAAUGCCUAAUUGUUUGUCUGAUUAUUUUGAAAAUUGAUUUGAUUAUUUUAUUGGAUUAUUGAAGGGUUUAAUUACUUUUUGGAUUAUUGUUAUGCUUGUUUAUUUGAAUGUUUCAAUGAAUUUGAGUUUUUUGAGUUAUCCUAUUAUAAUAAUAUCCUGUUAUAAUAUUUCGGUUGUCUGUGUGUGUGUAUUAUGUGUAUUGUUGUUUAUUUAGUUUCUAAGGAAAAACAGAUUUCUUAGUUAAUUAAUAUAACUAAUAAAAACUUUU